rnacentral:lncRNA from 1 species
ACGCUUCUUCUUUGAAAUCAAAAUAUCAACUGAUUUGUCUUGUUUAUUGCUUGUAGAUGCAAUCUCUUUUACUUUACGCUUCUUCUUUGAAGUCAAAACAUCAACUGAUUUGUCUUCUUUAUGUUUAUCCAAAUUUUUGGUCUUUCCUUUUGAUUUUGCAACAUGCAUGACUUCUUUCAUCUUGAAUGGGGUAUUACUAGACUUCGAC